rnacentral:rRNA from 1 species
GACGAACGCUGGCGGCGUGCCUAAUACAUGCAAGUAGAACGCACAGGAUGCACCGUAGUUUACUACACCGUAUUCUGUGAGUUGCGAACGGGUGAGUAACGCGUAGGUAACCUGCCUGGUAGCGGGGGAUAACUAUUGGAAACGAUAGCUAAUACCGCAUAAGCACAUUUACUGCAUGGUAGAUGUUUAAAAGGUGCAAAUGCAUCACUACCAGAUGGACCUGCGUUGUAUUAGCUAGUAGGUGAGGUAACGGCUCACCUAGGCGACGAUACAUAGCCGACCUGAGAGGGUGAUCGGCCACACUGGGACUGAGACACGGCCCAGACUCCUACGGGAGGCAGCAGUAGGGAAUCUUCGGCAAUGGGGGGAACCCUGACCGAGCAACGCCGCGUGAGUGAAGAAGGUUUUCGGAUCGUAAAGCUCUGUUGUUAAGGAAGAACGAGUGUGAGAAUGGAAAGUUCAUACUGUGACGGUACUUAACCAGAAAGGGACGGCUAACUACGUG